GCGCGGGAGGGACACGCAGCCGCCGGCCGAGCAAGUCGAUGAGGAGGCACUGGAGCUCCGGCGCGCGCUGAAACGCUGGUCGACGACGGGCUGUGCGACGUCUUCUGCAGCCGGCCUGGGCAGGUGUCUUCCUCGUGAGGCAGGCAGGGGAUCCCGGACCCUUAUACAGGAUGCUGUGGUCUUUGCUCCUUUGUGAAUGUCUACUGCUGGUAGCUGGUUAUGCUCAGGAUGAUGACUGGAUUGACCCCACAGACAUGCUUAACUAUGACGCUGCUUCAGGAACAAUGAGAAAAUCUCAGGCAAAAUAUGGUAUUUCAGGGGAAAAGGAUGUCAGUCCUGACUUGGCAUAUGCUGAUGAAAUAUCGAAAUGUUAUCACAAACUUGAUUCUUUAACUUAUAAGAUUGAUGAGUGUGAAAAGAAAAAGAGGGAAGACUAUGAAAGUCAAAGCAAUCCUGUUUUUAGGAGAUACUUAAAUAAGAUUUUAAUUGAAGCUGGAAAGCUUGGACUUCCUGAUGAAAACAAAGGCGAUGUGCAUUAUGAUGCGGAGAUUAUCCUUAAAAGAGAAACUUUGUUAGAAAUACAGAAGUUUCUCAAUGGAGAAGACUGGAAACCAGGUGCCUUGGAUGAUGCACUAAGUGAUAUUUUAAUUAAUUUUAAGCUUCAUGAUUUUGAAACAUGGAAGUGGCGAUUUGAAGAUUACUUUGGAGUGGAUCCAUAUAAUGUGUUAAUGGUACUUCUAUGUCUGCUCUGCAUCGUGGUUUUAGUGGCUACCGAGCUGUGGACGUAUGUACGUUGGUACACUCAAUUGAGGCGUGUUUUAAUCAUCAGCUUUCUGUUCAGUUUGGGAUGGAAUUGGAUAUAUUUAUAUAAGCUAGCUUUUGCACAGCAUCAGGCCGAAGUCGCCAAGAUGGAGCCAUUUAACAAUGUGUGUGCCGAGAAGAUGGACUGGACUGGAAGUAUCUGGGAAUGGUUGAGAAUUUCAUGGACCUAUAAGGAUGACCCAUGCCAAAAAUACUAUGAGCUCUUACUAGUCAACCCCAUUUGGUUGGUUCCACCAACAAAGGCACUUGCUGUGACAUUCACCACAUUUGUAACGGAGCCACUGAAGCACAUUGGAAAAGGAACUGGGGAAUUUAUUAAAGCACUCAUGAAGGAAAUUCCAACACUGCUUCAUCUUCCAGUGCUGAUGAUUAUGGCAUUAGCUGUCCUGAGUUUCUGCUAUGGUGCUGGAAAAUCAGUUCCUGUGCUGAGACAUAUAGGUGGUCCUGAGAAAGAACCUCCCCUGGCACGUCAGCUACGGGAUAGAAGACGGCAGAAGGAAAUUGAUUACAGACUCGAUGGUGGAGCAGGUGAUGCAGCUUUCCAUUAUAGAGGACAAACUGGCCCCAUUGAGCAAGGCCCUUAUGCCAAAACAUAUGAGAGUAGAAGAGAGAUUUUGAGAGAGAGAGAUGUUGACUUGAAAUUUCAGACUGGCAACAGGAGCCCUGAAGUGCUUCGGGCAUUUGAUUUACCAGACGCAGAGGCACAAGAGCAUCCCACGGUGGUACCCACUCAUAAAUCACCUGUUUUGGAUACAAAGCCCACGGAGACUGGUGGAAUUCCUGGGGAAGGCACACUGAAAGAAAGCAGUACUGAAAGCAGCCAGUCUGCUAAGCCUGUCUCUGGCCAAGACACAUCAGGGAAUACAGAAGGUCCACCUGCAGCAGAAAAGGCCCAGCUCACGUCGGAAGCCAAGGACAGCCCAGACCAAGGCAGCACAUGCAGCCCAGCAAGAAGUAUGGCUGGACCACAUGGACAGGAUCCAGUCAGCAGCCCCUGUGGCUAGAGGAACAACAGCACAAGCGACACCUCUCAAGUCUUCUUCGAGCUUUAUAUCCAUCUGGGGACGAAACCUACUUUGACACCUAGCAAGGCACCAUGCAGCUGCUAUUGAAUGAAGACAGCAAUUCAGGAAAGACUUAAAUAUGAAAGCAAACUGAACACAUAAGGCCAGUUUAUUACCAGAAAAGACUUACUCUGUUAUCCUCCCCUUCUGAACUGCCUUAAGUAUCUGGGAUAAGGAAGACAAGGCUUAAUGACCACUAAAGUUCUAGCUGACAUCUUUCAUACUGAAUUUCUGUAAAGUAAUCUAACAAGCUGCCAAAGAACACAUCCCAAGUAAUAAUCACAGAUGAUGAAGCACCUUACAGGACACCUCCACCUUGAAACACAACUGAACCCUGGGCACUACAAACUUAGAGGACAGAAAGAUGAAGAGGAGAAAAGAGAAUAAAGACAAGAGUGGCUGACGAGAAAAGUAUAGAAAUCCUGGAGGCUGAAUGAAGAAGGUACUCUCAGAAGGGAAUGAUUGGCUAUAGGAAACAUUGCUGAGAAAAAUCGAGUGAGCUGACAUUGAUGUAUUUGGUAAAAUGGAGGUUUGUGGUAACCUUGAAAGGUGGUUUCAGAGUCACAGAGAAGGCAAAGCCCAACGGGAGUGGGUUGAAGAGAGAAUGGGAGGCAAGGAAGUAAAAACAAUGAACAAUUAGUAUAUUUCCAGGUUUUGUUAUAGAAAAGAACAAAGGAACAGGUCUAUAGCUAGAAUGGUCCAUGAAGCAAGCGACUGUUUUUGCUUUUUAAAGAUGAGAGCUCUUAUGGAAUAACCUAUAUGAAAGUUCAACACAGAAAAACUUUUUGGCCCAUAAUUUAACCACAAAGCAUGCAGUCACAAAUUAUUAUAUGGCUCACACUUCAGAA